GAACGCUGAGARCYCUGGUGCUUGCACUGGGUGGAUGAGUGGCGAACGGGUGAGUAACACGUGAGUVACUUGCUCCCGACUUCGGGAUAAGCCCGGGAAACUGGGUCUAAUACUGGAUAUGACCAUCAAUGSCAUCUAGUGGUUGUGGAAAGUUUUUUCGGUUGGGGAUGGGCUCGCGGCCUAUCAGUUUGUUGGUGAGGUAAUGGCUCACCAAGACGACGACGGGUAGCCGGCCUGAGAGGGCGACCGGCCACACUGGGACUGAGACACGGCCCAGACUCCUACGGGAGGCAGCAGUGGGGAAUAUUGCACAAUGGGGGAAACCCUGAUGCAGCGACGCAGCGUGCGGGAUGACGGCCUUCGGGUUGUAAACUGCUUUCAGCAGGGAAGAAGCCUUUCGGGGUGACGGUACCUGCAGAAGAAGUACYGGCUAACUACGUGCCAGCAGCCGCGGUAAUACGUAGGGUACAAGCGUUGUCCGGAAUUAUUGGGCGUAAAGAGCUCGUAGGUGGUUGGUCACGUCUGCHGUGGAAACGCAACGCUUAACGUUGCGCGUGCAGUGGGUACGGGCUGACUAGAGUGCAGUAGGGGAGUCUGGAAUUCUUGGUGUAGCGGUGAAAUGCGCAGAUAUCAGGAGGAA
rnacentral:rRNA from 1 species